GGGAUGUGCUCUGCCUGACAGUUGAUACCCAGGUUGUGGGAAGACCGGGGCUAAGAGCAGAAAUGCCCCCAAGAUCCUGUUUUGGACCCGGGCAGCAUCACCUGUGUCCCGUGCAAUUUUGGUAGCUGGCCUCCCGGUUUUCUGCUGCAUUUCGGGGAUUCACAGACUGGCGGGCUCACCACGCAGGCAGAAAUGACUUGUUCGGUCCUCUGGUUUCUUAUGGUGAGUAAAUACGUCUAACUGUUGGAUUUGCUAAUUAUUGUGAUUUUUCGGGGUGAGG
rnacentral:lncRNA from 1 species